rnacentral:sRNA from 1 species
UAUUCCAGUAGAAUGGACUUUGGAGGAGC